GAUGAACGCUAGCGGCGGGCCUAAUACAUGCAAGUCGAACGGGAAAGGUGGCAACACCUUGAGAGUGGCGUACGGGUGCGUAACGCGUAUACAACCUGCCUGUUACACGGGGAUAGCCUUGCGAAAGCGAGAUUAAUACCCGAUGGUACUAUUGAGCGGCAUCGCUUGGUAGUUAAAGCUGAGGCGGUAACAGAGGGGUAUGCGUCCCAUUAGCUAGUUGGUAGUGUAACGGACUACCAAGGCGACGAUGGGUAGGGGUUCUGAGAGGAUGAUCCCCCACACUGGUACUGAGAUACGGACCAGACUCCUACGGGAGGCAGCAGUAGGGAAUAUUGGGCAAUGGACGGAAGUCUGACCCAGCCACGCCGCGUGCAGGAAGAAGGUCCUCUGGAUUGUAAACUGCUUUUCUUGGGGAAGAAAACCCUUCUGCGGAAGGAAUUGACGGUACUCAAGGAAUAAGCAGCGGCUAACUCCGUG
rnacentral:rRNA from 1 species